rnacentral:rRNA from 1 species
CACGUAGGCGGAUUUGCCAGUCAGGGGUGAAAUCCCGGGGCUCAACCUCGGAACUGCCUCUGAUACAGCAAGUCUUGAGUCCGGAAGAGGUGGGUGGAAUUCCUAGUGUAGAGGUGAAAUUCGUAGAUAUUAGGAAGAACACCAGUGGCGAAGGCGGCCCACUGGUCCGGUACUGACGCUGAGGUGCGAAAGCGUGGGGAGCAAACAGGGAUUAGAUACCCUGGUAGUCCACGCCGUAAACGAUGGAUGCUAGCCGUUGGCAAGCUUGCUUGUCGGUGGCGCAGCUAACGCAUUAAGCAUCCCGCCUGGGGAGUACGGCCGCAAGGUUAAA